AAUUAUUGUAAAUAGAUAUCAAUUUGUUAUAAACUAUUGUUAAAAUUACUUUUUGUUAAAAGUAUUAGGUCAUCCCAUAAGUUCGUGCCGUUUUUCGAGCGGUUAUAUAUGUUAAGAUUGUUUACAUACCUUUCAGUUUCAUGAAAAAAUUUCGUUCCGUUUUUCGAGCGGUUAUAUAUGUUAAGAUUGUUUACAUACCUUUCAGUUUCAUGAAAAAAUGUAAUCCCCCUCUCGUUGUACAACUUCUUUCCAUUUUUCAAGUGCAUUGGUCCCUUAUCGCCGUAUGUUUAUAAAUCGACACAUGAAAUGUAUACACAAAAGUCGGCACGAACUUAUGGGAUGACCUAAUAUAUC
rnacentral:misc_RNA from 1 species